rnacentral:rRNA from 2 species
ACUAAGCGUACACGGUGGAUGCCCUGGCAGUCAGAGGCGAUGAAGGACGUGCUAAUCUGCGAAAAGCGCCGGCGAGGUGAUAUGAACCCUUGACCCGGCGAUGUCCGAAUGGGGAAACCCAGUGCAAUUCGUUGCACUAUCGUUAACUGAAUACAUAGGUUAACGAGGCGAACCGGGGGAACUGAAACAUCUAAGUACCCCGAGGAAAAGAAAUCAACCGAGAUUCCCCCAGUAGCGGCGAGCGAACGGGGAGCAGCCCGGAGUCUGAAUCAGCUUGUGUGUUAGUGGAACGGUCUGGAAAGUCCGACGGUACAGGGUGAUAGUCCCGUACACGAAAGCACACAUGCUGUGAACUCGAAGAGUAGGGCGGGACACGUGGUAUCCUGUCUGAAUAUGGGGGGACCAUCCUCCAAGGCUAAAUACUCCUGACUGACCGAUAGUGAACCAGUACCGUGAGGGAAAGGCGAAAAGAACCCCGGCGAGGGGAGUGAAAAAGAACCUGAAACCGUGUACGUACAAGCAGUGGGAGCCUCUUUAUGGGGUGACUGCGUACCUUUUGUAUAAUGGGUCAGCGACUUAUAUUCUGUAGCAAGGUUAACCGUAUAGGGGAGCCGAAGGGAAACCGAGUCUUAACUGGGCGUUAAGUUGCAGGGUAUAGACCCGAAACCCGGUGAUCUAGCCAUGGGCAGGUUGAAGGUUGGGUAACACUAACUGGAGGACCGAACCGACUAAUGUUGAAAAAUUAGCGGAUGACCUGUGGCUGGGGGUGAAAGGCCAAUCAAACCGGGAGAUAGCUGGUUCUCCCCGAAAGCUAUUUAGGUAGCGCCUCGUGAACUCAUCUUCGGGGGUAGAGCACUGUUUCGGCUAGGGGGCCAUCCCGGCUUACCAACCCGAUGCAAACUACGAAUACCGAAGAAUGUUAUCACGGGAGACACACGGCGGGUGCUAACGUCCGUCGUGAAGAGGGAAACAACCCAGACCGCCAGCUAAGGUCCCAAAGUCAUGGUUAAGUGGGAAACGAUGUGGGAAGGCACAGACAGCCAGGAUGUUGGCUUAGAAGCAGCCAUCAUUUAAAGAAAGCGUAAUAGCUCACUGGUCGAGUCGGCCUGCGCGGAAGAUGUAACGGGGCUAAACCAUGCACCGAAGCUGCGGCAGCGACACUAUGUGUUGUUGGGUAGGGGAGCGUUCUGUAAGCCGUUGAAGGUGUGCUGUGAGGCAUGCUGGAGGUAUCAGAAGUGCGAAUGCUGACAUAAGUAACGAUAAAGCGGGUGAAAAGCCCGCUCGCCGGAAGACCAAGGGUUCCUGUCCAACGUUAAUCGGGGCAGGGUGAGUCGACCCCUAAGGCGAGGCCGAAAGGCGUAGUCGAUGGGAAACAGGUUAAUAUUCCUGUACUUGGUGUUACUGCGAAGGGGGGACGGAGAAGGCUAUGUCAGCCGGGCGACGGUUGUCCCGGUUUAAGCAUGUAGGCGGAGGUUCCAGGUAAAUCCGGUACCUUUUUAACGCUGAGGUGUGAUGACGAGGCACUACGGUGCUGAAGUGAUAAAUGCCCUGCUUCCAGGAAAAGCCUCUAAGCAUCAGGUAACACGAAAUCGUACCCCAAACCGACACAGGUGGUCAGGUAGAGAAUACCAAGGCGCUUGAGAGAACUCGGGUGAAGGAACUAGGCAAAAUGGUGCCGUAACUUCGGGAGAAGGCACGCUGAUGUGUAGGUGAAGCCCCUGCGGGCGGAGCUGAAAUCAGUCGAAGAUACCAGCUGGCUGCAACUGUUUAUUAAAAACACAGCACUGUGCAAACACGAAAGUGGACGUAUACGGUGUGACGCCUGCCCGGUGCCGGAAGGUUAAUUGAUGGGGUUAGCGGCAACGCGAAGCUCUUGAUCGAAGCCCCGGUAAACGGCGGCCGUAACUAUAACGGUCCUAAGGUAGCGAAAUUCCUUGUCGGGUAAGUUCCGACCUGCACGAAUGGCGUAAUGAUGGCCAGGCUGUCUCCACCCGAGACUCAGUGAAAUUGAACUCGCUGUGAAGAUGCAGUGUACCCGCGGCAAGACGGAAAGACCCCGUGAACCUUUACUAUAGCUUGACACUGAACACUGGUCCUUGAUGUGUAGGAUAGGUGGGAGGCUUUGAAGCGUGGACGCCAGUCUGCGUGGAGCCAACCUUGAAAUACCACCCUUUAAUGGCUGGUGUUCUAACGUAGACCCGUAAUCCGGGUUGCGGACAGUGUCUGGUGGGUAGUUUGACUGGGGCGGUCUCCUCCCAAAGAGUAACGGAGGAGCACGAAGGUUGGCUAAUCCUGGUCGGACAUCAGGAGGUUAGUGCAAUGGCAUAAGCCAGCUUGACUGCGAGCGUGACGGCGCGAGCAGGUGCGAAAGCAGGUCAUAGUGAUCCGGUGGUUCUGAAUGGAAGGGCCAUCGCUCAACGGAUAAAAGGUACUCCGGGGAUAACAGGCUGAUACCGCCCAAGAGUUCAUAUCGACGGCGGUGUUUGGCACCUCGAUGUCGGCUCAUCACAUCCUGGGGCUGAAGUAGGUCCCAAGGGUAUGGCUGUUCGCCAUUUAAAGUGGUACGCGAGCUGGGUUUAGAACGUCGUGAGACAGUUCGGUCCCUAUCUGCCGUGGGCGCUGGAGAAUUGAGGGGGGCUGCUCCUAGUACGAGAGGACCGGAGUGGACGCAUCACUGGUGUUCGGGUUGUCAUGCCAAUGGCACUGCCCGGUAGCUAAAUGCGGAAGAGAUAAGUGCUGAAAGCAUCUAAGCACGAAACUUGCCCCGAGAUGAGUUCUCCCUGAGACUUUAAGUCUCCUGAAGGAACGUUGAAGACGACGACGUUGAUAGGUCGGGUGUGUAAGCGCAGCGAUGCGUUGAGCUAACCGAUACUAAUGAACCGUGAGGCUUAACC